rnacentral:snoRNA from 1 species
GCAUGUUUUAAUUUGAGACUUGACCCACUCUGGUGGUCCUUUCUCAGUUGUACGUACGACAUGCGAGAUUAACUCGACUCCGAACCAUUGGCUGGUCCUUAUUAGUGGGCCUGAUCACUGAAGAGAGUCGCACAUUU